rnacentral:rRNA from 1 species
UACGGGGGGGGCAAGCGUUGUUCGGAAUUACUGGGCGUAAAGGGCUCGUAGGCGGCCAACUAAGUCAGACGUGAAAUCCCUCGGCUUAACCGGGGAACUGCGUCUGAUACUGGAUGGCUUGAGUUUGGGAGAGGGAUGCGGAAUUCCAGGUGUAGCGGUGAAAUGCGUAGAUAUCUGGAGGAACACCGGUGGCGAAGGCGGCAUCCUGGAUCAACACUGACGCUGAGGAGCGAAAGCCAGGGGAGCAAACGGG